GACGAACGCUGGCGGCGUGCUUAACACAUGCAAGUCGAACGGAAAGGCCCUGCUUUUGUGGGGUGCUCGAGUGGCGAACGGGUGAGUAACACGUGAGUAACCUGCCCUUGACUUUGGGAUAACUUCAGGAAACUGGGGCUAAUACCGGAUAGGAGCUCCUGCUGCAUGGUGGGGGUUGGAAAGUUUCGGCGGUUGGGGAUGGACUCGCGGCUUAUCAGCUUGUUGGUGGGGUAGUGGCUUACCAAGGCUUUGACGGGUAGCCGGCCUGAGAGGGUGAACGGCCACAUUGGGGAUGGGAUUAGGCCCAGACUUCUUAGGGAGGCAGCAGUGGGGAAUAUUGCACAAUGGGCGGAAGCCUGAUGCAGCAACGCCGCGUGCGGGAUGACGGCCUUCGGGUUGUAAACCGCUUUCGCCUGUGACGAAGCGUGAGUGACGGUAAUGGGUAAAGAAGCACCGGCUAACUACGUG
rnacentral:rRNA from 1 species